rnacentral:rRNA from 1 species
CGUAGGAUGCAAGCGUUGUCCGGAUUUAUUGGGCGUAAAGAGUUCGUAGGUGGUUCGUUAAGUCUGGUGUAAAAGACUGGGGCUCAACCCUGGGAUCGCGCUGGAUACUGGCGGACUGGAGUGUGGUAGAGGCAAGUGGAAUUCCCAGUGUAGCGGUGAAAUGCGUAGAUAUUGGGAAGAACACCGGUGGCGCAAGCGACUUGCUGGGCCAUAACUGACACUGAGGAACGAAAGCUAGGGGAGCGAAUGGGAUUAGAUACCCCAGUAGUCCUAGCUGUAAACGAUGGAUACUAGACGUAUCGGGUAUCGACCCCUGAUGUGUCGCAGCAAACGCGAUAAGUAUCCCGCCUGAGUAGUACGGCCGCAAGGUUG